rnacentral:rRNA from 1 species
GAACGGGUGAGUAACGCGUGAGCAACCUACCUUAGUUACCGGGAUAGCCCGAGGAAACUCGGAUUAAUACCGGAUAUUCUUAUUUAAUCUCAUGAUUUUUUAAGGAAAGGUCAGCCGAACUAAGAUGGGCUCGCGUUCUAUCAGCUAGUUGGUAGGGUAAUGGCCUACCAAGGCUACGACGGAUAGCUGGUCUGAGAGGACGAUCAGCCACACUGGGACUGAGACACGGCCCAGACUCCUACGGGAGGCUGCAGCAGGGAAUAUUGCGCAAUGAGCGAAAGCUUGACGCAGCGACACCGCGUGUGGGAUGACGGAUCUAGGUUUGUAAACCACUUUCAGGAGGGAAGAAAAUGACGGUACCUCCACAAGAAG